rnacentral:rRNA from 1 species
AUUGAACGCUGGCGGCAGGCUUAACACAUGCAAGUCGAGCGGGGGAAGGUAGCUUGCUACCGGACCUAGCGGCGGACGGGUGAGUAAUGCUUAGGAAUCUGCCUAUUAGUGGGGGACAACAUCUCGAAAGGGAUGCUAAUACCGCAUACGUCCUACGGGAGAAAGCAGGGGAUCUUCGGCCCUUGCGCUUAUAGAUGAGCCUAAGUCGGAGUAGCUAGUUGGUGGGGUAAAGGCCUACCAAGGCGACGAUCUGUAGCGGGUCUGAGAGGAGGAUCCGCCACACUGGGACUGAGACACGGCCCAGACUCCUACGGGAGGCAGCAGUGGGGAAUAUUGGACAAUGGGGGGAACCCUGAUCCAGCCAUGCCGCGUGUGUGAAGAAGGCCUUAUGGUUGUAAAGCACUUUAAACGAGGAGGAGGCUACUCUAGUUAAUACCUAGGGAUAGUGGACGUUACUCGCAGAAUAAGCACCGGCUAACUCUGUGCCAGCCGCCGCAGUAA